rnacentral:misc_RNA from 1 species
AGUCGUAACAAGGUCUCCGUAGGUGAACCUGCGGAGGGAUCAUUAACACAAAAUGUUGUAAAACAAACACUACAACAAGCACCAUUUUUGAUAUGGGACUUGUUGUUCUUUAUUGAACAAUAAGUAAUGUACCUUAUCCUUUUGAACUCCAGUUUUUCUUUCUCAUUUUCUUCUUGUCAAUUGAACAAAAGAAAAAAAACCAAAAGAACUACUGUUGGCGAUGGAUAUCUUGGCUCCCA